UUCACCUCCGGCCGAGCCCUUCUCCCCUCCUUCCUCUCUCUCUUUGCUUCCCCCCUCCCACCUCCUCUUCUCCCUCUCGCCGUGCCACCGUGGGGCGAGCCUCCUCCGGGAGAUGCUUCCACCUCGGAGCCGCAGAAGGCGGACGCUUCCUCGGCCUGCAGCCGCUCCGGCGACUGCGGCCGAGGGGUGCCCUUCUCCAGGGUGGGAGCAGUGGGAGAGGGAGGGCCUAAACCUCCUCCAAAGUGAUGCCGGAGUGAGUUUUAGUCUCCGGGGACCUCCCUUACCCCGAUCCGACCACGGCGGAGGAGGAGAACCACCGUGACCGAGAAGGAGGCGCGAGAGACCCAGGGUGGGAGCAGUGGGAGAGGGAGGGCCUAAACCUCCUCCCAAGUGAUGCCGGAGUGAGUUUUAGUCUCCGGGGACCUCCCUUACCCCGAUCCGACCACGGCGGAGGAGGAGAACCACCGUGACCGAGAAGGAGGCGCGAGAGACCCAGGGUGGGAGCAGUGGGAGAGGGAGGGCCUAAACCUCCUCCAAAGUGAUGCCGGAGUGAGUUUUAGUCUCCGGGGACCUCCCUUACCCCGAUCCGACCACGGCGGAGGAGGGGAACCACCGUGACCGAGAAGGAGGCGCGAGAGACCCAGCAAUAGGCGAGACAUAUAUGGAAGGUCUACUACAUUGCUGGCACCCGAUCUGCAUUCAUUGUAAGUUGGAGAGGUCAUCACCAGAGGAGAAGAGGUGCAGGGAUCUUCUCCUCUUUUUUGCGUGCAUGUAUAUUAAUGAGAUGAUGGGCAAGUUGUGAAAUUACUCCUCUUCUUUGCGUGUCAACUUCUCUAGCAAUAGGCGAGGAACUUCUGGAAGUGAAUUCAUUGGAUUUGGAGGCUGAUGGUAGUUUCAAGAUAAAGAUGGUAUCGAUAAAGGGGCUUGAUUCGUGAUUUUCUGUGGAAGCUGUCCUCGAUAAAUCCUAACCAUUGAUGUCUCUUUAGCAAGCAUAUCUGAUUGGUGGAACAGCGUGCUCAGAUCUUGAUUUGAAAGCAUUGGUAGCUUGCGGGUUGGGAGGGAACCCUCUUGGUUCACGUAUCCAAAAGCUCCAAAAAAAUUUGGAACCAGUACGGGCCGAUACGGUUAGCCGGUUCGGGCCGGUACGGGUUUUUAACACCGAACCAGACCGUUCGGAGCCAGUAUCGGUUCGGUACGGGCUGAAUCGGCCGGUACAGCAUUCCUUGCUUUUUUGUUUGUAUGGAUGCAUUUUUGCAGGAAUAUUGAUGCAACAAGGGUUGACUUCUAAAUUUGUUCUCUUCUUUGCAUGCCACCUUCUCUGGCAAUAGGCGAGGCAUUUGUGGAAGGUCUACUACACUGCUGACAACCAAUCUGCAUUCAUUGUAAGUUGGAGAGGUCAUCACCCGAGGAGAGGAGGAGCGGGGAUCUUCUCCUCUUUUUUGUGUGUAUGUAUGUAUAUUGAUGAGAUGAUGGGUGACUUGUAAAAUUGCUCUUUUCUUCUUUGCGUGUCAGCUUCUCUAGCAAUUGGCAGGGAACAUCUGGAAGUGGCGAAUUUGAGCCUCUUUUUCCUUUUCCCAUUUUGCCUUCUAAUUUCUUGUUUUUUGAAGAUUAUAUUUUUUUUAAGGCAUCU